GAACGUAUGGCUUAGCGGUCAAAGCGCUUAGACGGUUUUCAAGAGGCGCGGGUUGAAAUACCGCUACGUUCA
rnacentral:tRNA from 1 species